rnacentral:tRNA from 1 species
GAGGCUUUAUCUUAAUAAAAGUAUCUGAGUUGCAUUCAGAAGAUAUAGGUUAAUAUCCUAUAAGUCUUA